UGUUAGGGCCAUGCCAUCCUGAACAAGCCCGAUCCCGUCUGAUCUUGGAAGCUAAGCAGGGUCGGGCCUGGUUAAUACUUGGAUGGGAGACCACCUAGGAAGCCCACGUGCUGUAGGCA
rnacentral:rRNA from 1 species